UUUCAAGCUCAGUGGUUGAACAGUCGGUUGGUAACCGACUAGUUGGGCGUAGGUUCGAAUCCUACUUGAAAA
rnacentral:tRNA from 2 species